rnacentral:rRNA from 1 species
UAAGCGNGGAAAGAACUAACAAGGNUUCCCCUAGUAACUGCGAGUGAAGCGGAAAGCUCAAAUUAAAUCUGGCGUCUUGCCCGUCCGAGUUGUAAUCUAGAGAAGUGCUACCUGUGCUGGACCGUGUACAAGUCUCCUGGAAUGGAGCAUCACAGAGGGUGAGAANNNCGUCUUUGACACGGACUGCCUGUACGUUGUGGUGCGCUCUCGAAGAGUCGAGUUGUUUGGGAAUGCAGCUCAAAAUGGGUGGUAAAUNCCAUCUAAAGCUAAAUAUUGGCGAGAGNCCGAUAGCGAACAAGUNCCGUGAGGGAAAGAUGAAAAGANCUUUGGAAAGAGAGUUAAACAGUACGUGAAAUUGCUGAAAGGGAAACGCUUGAAGUCAGUCGCGUCGGCUAGAAAUCAGCCUUGCUUUUGCUUGGUGUACUUUCUUGNUGAGGGGUCAGCAUCAAUUUCGNCGUCGGAUAAAGUCGUUGNNAAUGUGGCAUCUUNGNAUGUGUUAUANCCCGGCGUCGCAUNCGGUGGUUGGGAUUGAGGANCUCAGCNCNCCGCAAGGCCGGNUCCUCUGNGCCCACGUCCGUGCUUAGGAUGCUGGCAUAAUGGCUUUAAUCGACC